UGUUUCGGUUCAGACGCAGAGCGCUGUCGUCACUCACUGCGCAGCUGCUCUACACUCUGUACCUGCAGGAUUAUCACACACACACACACACACACACACACACUAGCAGCAGCAUCCAAACUUCCACUGACUGCGGUCGAUUAAUAUGCCGAAGCAUGUGUGUGAAAGGAAACUGAAGCAGUGACUGGAUUUGAACACUUCGGUUUCAUGGAGCUGCGGAGCGCGCGCUGUUCUGCCUCCUUGGAUGAGCUGAUCCAAUAACUGCUGCCACUGCGCGUGGAGGACUCGUCGUCUCCACUCGCGAAUGCACACCGACCUGAAGCUUCUUCCCUCUACUUCUCCGGUUGAUGCCGAGGAUCAUGACCAUGAACGGUGACCAGCAGCAGCAGCACUCGGUCGCCACAGCGCCGCUGGAUUUGCGCACCACCAACAGAGAGCGUAGGAGUCCGGAGUGCAGCGGGUCGCAGAGGUCACGUCAGCAGGAGCGCUCACCUGCGCACACCACGGGGACUCAAAGUUUGGAAACACACGGCGCCACCGUCAGGAGAAGCGCCCCGGGCUUGGAACACGGCGCCGCUGCUCGCAAGCGGCCGGCGGACACUUCUUCCCUCAAGCUUCCUUUUAGGAAACGACCGUGGAUCCCCGUGGAGCCGGAUACACGGACACAGUCACAGACACAGACGCAGUCACAGACACGGACUCAGACAGAAACACAGCCAUCGCCUCCACCUGAGAGUGGACACCGCGUCUCUCCUGUGAUUGUGGGACACACGGAUUUGACGCAUCGGGACAGUUUGGAAAGACCGGUGGAUGAAAACAGACUCAGUGCAGCAACGCUGACUCCCAGGCGGACUGAGGAGACGGAGCUGAGCGCAGACAGACGCCUCUUACGCCGCCUGCACCCAGUUAAUUACGGCCAUUACCCUGCGUACUAUUUGCCCCCAGUGGGAGACAUGAAUCACCCUCUGAUUCAGCAAACGGAUAACCUGCUGGCUGGUAUCGCUCUGGCCACACAUCAGGAUGAGGAUGGAGACACAGCUCUCCAUAUAGCUGUGGUGCAGGGGGAGCUGGCCGUGGUCUGUACACUGAUCCAUCUCCUGCUGUUGGCUGCCAAAAGCGUUGAUGUCUACAACAACCUCCGUCAGACUCCCCUUCACUUGGCAGUAAUAACCCAGCAGCCAGACAUGGUGGGUGUUUUGUUGAGAGCAGGAGCUGACCCUACUGCCUUGGACCGUCACGGCCAAACAGCGCUUCACCUCUGCUGUGAAUACCACCAGCGUGAAUGUCUUUCUGUGGUGCUCUCUCGCUCCUCGUCCCCCACGUGCUUGGAGAUCAGAAACUAUGAGGGUCUGAGUCCUCUCCACCUGGCUGUGCUGCGUGGUCGUAAGGAUUUAGCCAGAAUGCUGCUGGAUGCAGGAGCUGACAUCAAUGCAAUGGACAUCAAAAGUGGCCAGAGUCCUCUCAUGCAUGCGGUUGAGAGCAAUAACGCAGACAUGGUCCACUUCCUCAUUGAGAAUGGCUCUGAUGUCAACAGCCAGUCCUACAGUGGGAAUACGGCCCUGCAUGGUGCGUGUGGCCGAGAUCAGGCGGACACGGUGCGGCUGCUGCUGAAGAGUGGAGCAGACAGCAGCCUCAAGAACUACCACAAUGACACUCCUGUGAUGGUGGCCAAGAGCAGGAAAAUCGCGGAUGUGUUGCGAGGGAGAGGCUCCAAAUACAUUAGGCUUCAAGAUCAACACUGUGUCUCAGUCUCACCGCAUGGAAGCAACUUAUCAGAAAAUGGGUCCUCAUCUCCCAGCCAGAGUCGCGGAUGUUCGCCUUUGACUUCACCGCACACUCCUCACCGUAGCACAUCCCACUCUCCAAAGACUCCAUCUGUGCCUGUAUUUCCAUCUUACUAGCUUAAGGUUAGGUCACCAAAGCAACUACCUCGACACAGCCAAACAGCAGAGAGACAGUCAAGACUCCACUGCCUUCAGAGAGUGCUCUAAAGAAUGUUCAGAACAGACCAGCAGCACAUUUCAGACUUCCCUACCAACCUGUUCUCAUGCCGAGAGCGUCACAUACUGACGCUCGCCACGCCUCUCAGCGUCGCCUUACAGAAGGUAUACUUCAGCGUCUGAAACAGAUUCACCAGGCUUUCAAUUGACUCUAAUGUAAACCCACUGGGAGGGUAUUUAGAUGCAGAGAGCAGAGCAGCAGUAAAGUAAAGGUAUGAGUAUGAGGUUAGCAUUAGGGCCAACAAAAGGACUGAGGUUAGCGUUAGGGCCAAGAUAGAGACUGAGAUUAACGUUAGGGCCAAGAUAGGGACUGAGAUUAGCGUUAGGGCCAAAAUAGGGACUGAGAUUAGCGUUAGGGCCAAGAUAGGUACUGAGAUUAGCGUUAGGGCCAAGAUAGGGACUGAGAUUAGCGUUAGGGCCAAGAUAGGGACUGAGAUUAACGUUAGGGCCAAGAUAGAGACUGAAAUUAACGUUAGGGCCAAGAUAGGGAUUGAGAUUAGCGUUAGGGCCAAGAUAGGGACUGAGAUUAGCGUUAGGGCCAAGAUAGGGACAGAAAUUAGUGUUAGGGCCAAGAUAGGGACUGAGGUUAGAAGUUAGGAUAAAUAUCCAAGUUACGCUUCAUGUCCGUGUUCACACUAGUAGAGUAUAGAAAAAAAGACUAUAUAUGUUUCUCAUCGGUGACUGUUUAGCACCGACAUGAUGACAUUAAAGCGCAGCUGCUCUGACCAUCUAAAUGUACCACCCGCAGUGUUUCAGACUUGGAUGGAUGCAGAGGGACGUGACAGAGCAGCAGUAAAUGAUGCUGUCCCUACAGACUGGGGAACAACUAUGACUAUGAGCAAAUUGGUCACCCACAAGCUGCUUCAGUUCUGCUUUUAUGUGACAUUCUCUUACACUCUUUUCACUGUAAGGCUUAAAGCUGCAGAAGGAACGAUUGCUGAAAUAUCGUCGAUUACUGAGUUUGAUGCACUGAUUAUUAGUGCUCAUGUUUGUCCUGAGCUCCUCUCAUCAGAUGAGCACUUAAAAUGACCUGAGACAAUCUCUUCAUCUGCAGUACUUUCUGCUGAUACUGACAUGUGUUUUAUUGUGUUUAACGUCCAACUUUCCGCUGCUGGAGUAGCGAUCCACUGUGGGGACAUACCCUAACCCUGUAUGCAGAGUAGGUGUAGUGGAUCAGCCAAUGAUGUGUUUUUUUAGUCAAAUCCACCUGUGAUGCUACAGAUUUACUUGUGAGGCUGUAAACAGAGGAGCAGAAGUGUCAUUCUCUCUCAGAUCACCAGGUAGGGGACAGGGGACGGUUGCCCCUGGUGCCCUAAAAGACAAAAAAAAGUCACAAGAUGUAUGCUUAAGUAUCCUCUGGAGUGGUAAAAACAUGAGGAAGUGCUCUACUGGCCACUAUAAGAUGCCCUUGCAACUUUGUUUCCUAUGGGUGUCCUUCCAAUCAAAAAUGUAAUGAAGUUCCCUACUGCCCCUACAUGAAAGUGUUCCAAAGGGUGUCCUUAGAGGAAAUGAUAUUCAGUGCUGUAUAGAAAGUGAUGCUGUGCUGUAAAAGAUGUCCCUGUAUUGGUAUACCCAGGUGUGUGAGAAUGUGGGAAAUGAUAUUCUAGCGCGCCUGUCCCACCAGUGUGCAGCAGGUGCCCUCUUAACUUUCACCCCUGCCCUUCCAAAUGUCUGUGCACGCCACUGCAGAUCACUUGACCUACAUUAUGCUGAAAGGUUAUUGUGGUAUUUUGCAUCAGUAGUGCCAAAAAACAUCCUGUAUACUGAGCUUCUAAAAAUGUUCACUGACAUGUUAAAUAACCUCUGUCCACUAUGUAUCUGUGUGCAUUGUUCUAUCACUGAAAUUGACAUGUGAAUAUUUUUUAUAUAAAAGUUGUCCAGUGGCA